UGUGGCAGCCUCGACUUUUCAUCCU
rnacentral:piRNA from 1 species